rnacentral:rRNA from 1 species
GACGAACGCUGGCGGCGUGCUUAACACAUGCAAGUCGAACGGAGAAGCGCCUUCCUUGUUGGUGGGUGUGGAUGAGUGGCGAACGGGUGAGCAAGAGGUGAGUAACCUGCCCCCUUGGGUAGGAUAACCGAAUGAAAGUGUGUCUAAGAUAGGAUAUUCUGGGUCAGUCGCAUGAUUGGUAUGGGUAAGAUGUUGUGUCGGUGGGGGAUGGUCGCGCGGUCUAUCAGCUUGUUGGUGGGGUAAUGGCCUACCAAGGCUUUGACGGGUAGCCGGCCUGAGAGGGUGACCGGCCACAUUGGGACUGAGAUACGGCCCAGACUUCUAGGGGAGGCAGCAGUGGGGAAUAUUGCACAAUGGGCGGAAGCCUGAUGCAGCAACACCGCGUGCGGGAUGACGGUCUUCGGGUUGUAAACCGCUUUCGCCUGGGACGAAGCGUGAGUGACGGUAAUGGGUAAAGAAGCACCGGCUAACUACGUG